GCCUUCGUGGUGUAACGGUAGCACACUCGGCGCGUAUUCAAGAGGUCGAGGUUCAAGUUCCGGCGAAGGCA
rfam:Stegodyphus mimosarum contig90718, whole genome shotgun sequence.